UAACAACCAUGGUUUGACCCAGGGUGCAAGGGGCUCCAGCAUGGCCCAGGACCAGCAGCUCCACGAGGUGGUGGGAGCACACAAAGUGAUGACACAUCACGCAGCCACCACAUGGAAGCAGGCUGCUGGCACAUCAACCCUGCUUCUCUCUCCCUUUUUCAUGCACCAGCUGCUGUGGGGACAGCCAGUAAUGCACAAGCAAGCCAGCUGCCGGCAGUGUGGUUCAGCUCUUCUGUUGGGUGAGGGGUGGGGACACCCAGUACGGAAACCAGAAGUGGAAUUGGCCCAAUCCAACCUGGCCUAGAGCACCUUCAAAUGCGGGGAACCCACAGCCCCUCUGGGCAGCUGUGCCAGGGCCCCACUGCCCGCUGAGUAAAGAACUUCUUCCUAAUAGCUGACCUCAAUUUCCCCUCUUUUAGUUUAAAGCCAUUCCCCCUUGUGCUAUCAGUAUUAGACCAUGUAAAAGGUUGGUCCCCCUCCUGCUUGUAAGCUACCUUUGAGUACUGGAAAGCUACAGCGAGGUCUCCCUCGUAAGUAACAGUAAGCUAUGCUGCAUGCUUGUUUACAUAAUUCUAAAACUCAAAGUGUAACCAUAGCUCUAUGGCCUGCUUUCCUGCUGCCAGGGAUUCUUAAAGUAGCUGCCCUUCCCACAGCAUCAGUUGACAGAACUUGCCACAGUUGGUAGGAUCCUAAGGUUAGAAAAAUAUCUGGUCCCCUUCAUCAAUGGGAUGCACUGCAAAAGAGUUUUAUGGAAGACGGAUGGCAAGAUCCCAAGCGGGAUAAGGAAUGGCUGAAGGCAAUAAUCCGCAAUCCAAAAGUCACAUGGAGCAAAUGGAAAGAUACGUGGGAAGAAAAGAAAGACAACAGGAGGGAAGGAUGCUGUGUACACAGUAAGCCCACUACUGUAUGAGGACUGCAGGUGACGUGGACCGGAACGGCUGUUCCGGACUGUGAGCAACAGCAUAACCCCCCAUCGGUUUGGCUUUUUAAAUAGCAACUUUAAGCCUUGUUUGUCCCACAAGCCACGAAGCUCUCUGGGUCUCCUCUCCUGACCGUGAGUCCGAGCUCUCCCAGGAGGUGCUGCCUUCCCAUGGGGGCAGUGUCCCCAUCAUCUGAUCCCCCCCUCAGGGUUCUCACUGUGAGGAAAAUAGCAUCUAUCUCAUUCAUUACAGGCAGCUAAUAAAUCAGCCCGUUAAAACACAUCUGCAGGCACUAAGGAGUUACAGCGUCCUACCGGGAAAUGUUUGCUGGCAGCCAAUAGAAGGAGAGACAGACAAUGCGGUUGAGUCAUGGCUUCCAGCUGCAGCUCAAGGCAGAGCUGUGCUGGGUGUCUGCAGCAGCUUCACUGCAUCAGUUCUCCUUUUAUGCCUGCAUUAAUGAACGGAGUGGAAGUAGCUGCUUCAGGAAAUAGCAGAUGUCAGAUGCUGUAAGCCUGAAUGCUUCCUGCCUUCUCUCGGGAUUUUCCAGCACCAUGGACUCAUGGGGAUGAUGACUGAUGAGCUGCAGGUCCCUCCACUCUCUCAUCCAUGAGACCACGGUCUAACCAACUAGAGGCGACAGCAACUGAGGUCAGACCUGCAGAACUGCAAUCAGAGGACGUGCCAGGAUGUAGUGUACUUCCCUCCUGAAAUACAUGAAGGAGGCAAUCCUUCAUGUAAGAAGACAUUUACAUGAUGUUGUGGAGUACUAUCUUGGGAGAACCUAAGCAGACACAAACUUUGUGAAGGAGCACUUAAUGCAUGCAAAGAUUCAGAAGUAUUUGUACUGCAGGCAGACAUACACAAUCCAGAGGUCAUCUGUCCACAAAAACUCAACCAAAUAAUGAAUGAGAAAAUCCCUCUUGUAUUACCAAGCUUGUCAACUAUUGCACUUGACAGCAGUACGAAUAAUGCAGGAAGAGAAAAUAUUCUUGAGAUGGAUCUGGCAAAUUCUAUCCCAUGGAACACAACAAGGAAAGAUCACCCAGGCUCUGACAGCAGGAGACUAUUUUGUGCUCUUCCCUUACCCGGUCCAUCUUCAGGCAAAGAAAACUGUUAACAUCAGGACCCAUCACUGGUGCUUCAGCACAGACCGCAAACUGUGCACCUUGAAAACCAGCGACAGCUCAGUGUGAAGUUAAACCAGGAAGAAGAGGUGCCAAGCUGAUCAUUUUUUGAAAUCAUGGUUCUGCUGAACUGCAAAGGAAAGUAGUAAGAUUACCUUUGUUAUAAUGAAAAUGAGGUUAUAGAAAUGCUGGGUUUUCAAGUCACAGUGGGAUUCCUUCAAGCUGCAAAGCACUGGAGUAACAUGAGAAAGUUCACUAAACAAUCUACAAGGAUUUCAGGUGCAAAACCUACAUUGUUCUGUUUCCCUGCAUUGCAUUUGUUCUCUGCAGUUUCUAAUUCAGUCAUUUGUCAGGUUGUAAUAUUAGAUUUAGCAGUAAUGUGUUUUCUAGGCACAACUGAGAUAAGAAAUUUGUCAAUUCACAUACUACAAUACUGCUGGAAUCAUAAACUUCCACGAGAAAUUGCUUUUGCAUACAUUCAUUAAGGUUGUACACUGCUUUGAGAUAAUACAGUCAAUUACAAUCAAAAUCACUGUAAGAAUGUGUUGAAAAUGGUUUUGCCUAUUAAAGGCUGACUCUGCUGGGUUUUUUUUUGUUUGUUUGUUUUUUCAAUCUACACUUUAAAUGGGAUCCUCCAAGAGACCAGAACAGCUGAUGAGGGAGAGAACUACUGACAUGGUGUUGUGCAUGUAUGGAAGGCAUCAGAUAACCAGAGUACAACAGAUAAUCAUUCAUUUGAAUUAUCAUUACUGAUAAGAAUUUUAAGAAGGAAUCUUUCAAUAUUAUUGAAACUUAAUUAUCAUCUUUCGGUAAUGAUUCCAUUCUGUUCUGCUGCUGAACAUUUUUAUAAUUCUGACAGAUGUACCAUCUGGUGGACUAUGUUAAUCUGUCUUUUUUUUUUUUUUUUUUUUUUUUACAUAGAAACAGUUUUGGCUCUCGCUUUUCUUGAAACAGCUUCUUACAUGAAAAUUUCAUUUGAAGCCAGACUUAAUCCCAGUCUUAAUUGUUAAUCAGGGAACUGGCAUGGAACAAGUGGGAGCAGAAGUUAUCUGUUGUUAGAUAGAUUUUCUUCUUGUAUUUGGCUUUCCAACUUAAGGAUCUGUAAUAAGAUGUGGUCUUACAGAGUUACUGAUCCAUUACCAUUGUUUACCCAGAUUUUUGUCAAGAUAAUCCAAGAAGACAGUUCGUAACCAAUUACAAACCACAGGCAAAUCUGUUAUUUCAUGUUCAAAUGAGCCUGAAUUUAAUUCUCUAAGUAUGUUAUUUAAUAAUUAACUCUAACCCGUAAUCAGAUUUUUUUGACACCUACUCAACCGAAAUCAACGCAUGAGUUUAUUGAGAUUUUGUAUGGAUAUUUUGGCUGAAAGCACUGUCAUAAACUAACUGUGCCACUGCCAAAACCUGGUUAUUAACAUACUUGAACUAAUGCAGACUUAUGCCUCAACGUAGGCAAAUGUGAAGACAUCCUCAUAAACCUCUUGUGCGAUAUAAAUAUUUAAACUUUGGGUUUGUUGACAGUUGCAGCUCUUGGGAAUCUUUUUGUGGUGCUGUAUUUUAGAGAGAUGCUUUUAGUUCAUUGAAAUGAAACCGCUUUUCAUAUAAAAAGUUUUGAUACAUAACAGGGAUACGGUGACCUGAAAUAAGCAUUCAUUUUGUUGUACCAAAAAUACACACUCUUAUAAGGCCAUAAUUAGUUGGCAAUGUAAUAAAGACAUUAAUGUAGGUAUGUUGGUCUCUGAUGAGAAAUAGCAAACUGCUUAAAGCUUAUGGCAUUUUUUUACACUUGUAUCCCAACCACGUUCAAUAGAUAAGAUUUCUGUUGUCCUUAUCCCUCUUUUCCAUAGUUCUCUUUAUAUCACAAAAUACAGAAUAAACGACACUGAGUAAGAGUAAAAAUAGCAGAACCAAACUGUUCUUUAGUACCUGGGGGAAGACACAGAAUGUAUAGAGUCCUAGGGAGGAAAUAUACAAUGUAAGCAACUGGAAAACAGCAAAGGGAGAGUGAAUACGGGAGUGAACAUCAAAAGCGAGUAACUCCAGUUACUCAAAGACAAAACUAGAACUAAAAGACUUCAAAACUGAGCCACAUUCAAAUUCUGUUAAGCUGUACAGAUUUAUUAAAGGAAAAUAACAGAAGUAGGCAGGGUUUUUUGUUUUGUAUUUUUUCCCUGACUUUAUCAGUACGUAUUCUUCUUGGAGCUGGUCACAGCUAUCUUUUGCUGACUUGUACAAAGACGACCAUCCCUUGCCCCUUGCUCCUUUUUGCUAUCUAUACAGCACCCUUAUCUCAGCUGGGAUACUUCCUGCAACGAAAGAACUCCUGCACUAGAAUUUUUUGAAGUUAAUUUGUAGAUAAUUAAUCUGAGGUGCUGGAAUGGAGCUUCUAAGAGACUAGUCUUUCCAGCAGAGAACAAAACAAGGCUAUAAAUACCACUCAAUAGCUGUUGCCAGCACAUAUCAAAAUAGAGUCCCAGACAACAGAGGAAGACAAGUGCAUGCUCACAGAAUACUCAUUUACAAAACUUUAAAAAUAAUGCAUUCAUGGACUAAUCGUAUACACAAAAGAAUUUUUACACUGAUUAGUCUAAAACAUAGAGCUGGGGAGAUGGACUAGAUGACCUUGAAGAGUCCCUUCCAAAUGCUUCUAUGAUUCUAUAUUUACAAAGACUGAAGUGCUAACCAAACCUCAAGUAUUUGCAUGAUAUCAUUUCAAGUUUGAAUUCUGCAUGAUCUUGCAAACACUUUCAUGCCACCACAGCUUUAGUCACUUGAGCUAUCCACGUGAGGUUAUGUACAUAUAUAAAUACUUGUGGGACUGGUUUGUUUGGAAAAGACCUAACCAUCAUCAAGGCUGGCAUAGAGAAUUCAGGUUUCUUCACUGCCAAUUAUUUGAUUAUGAUGAUACACAUCUGUUAAGCAGGCUUUCCCCUAGUAGUAUAUGGUUUUUCUAAGACUGCUGCAUUUUUUUUUAGUGCAUGAAGAACGCUUUUCUCAUUCUUUUUCUCCCACCCUCUCUGCCCCCUUUGUAAAAUAUUACUCUGGAGCUCAGAAGGACUUAGAGGAGUUUCUGUUUUUUUUCCUCAUCAAAAGAAGUAAACCCCUGCUUGCCUCACCUGGCACACCCUUCAGUGAGGACAUGGUUGGCUUGACAGCUGGUAUGUCAGCCAAGUUAAACAAAACUCAUGGAUUUUGAAAGUAAGUCCACCAUAAAUUAAGCUGCCUGGUGAGGUCUGCAGAGAACACAUUUAAUGAGUUGUGUUAUAUUAAAAGUGUAGUGUAGCUGCAAAAGUAUGUUAACUGUAAAUUCGGUGUGUGUUUAAAAAAUGGGCUGCUGAUAAUUGAAGAACUGCAUUUUUCUUAAUCUCAAUGUGAGAAAAAUGGUGGAUAAGAAGCUCAGAUGUACUACUUCUAGCUCUUGUGUUGAUAGGAAAUAAUUUGUGAUGAGUAUUUUGCUGUUUCCUACCUUUAUUUCUCUUCUUCGGAGGAUACAUCCCAGGUAAGAUUUAGAGAUCUUUAUCCCCGAACUGUGAUCUGCACAGGUCUUUGCAGUUGACCUUGUUCCACAGAAGUAAGAGAUGCACAGGACAAGAGGUAAUGGCCUUAAGUUGUGCCAAGGGAGAUUCAGGUUGGAUAUUAGGAACAAUUUCUUCUCCAGAAGAGCAGUGAGGCACUGACACAGCUGCCCAGGGAAGUGGUGGAGUCACCAUCCCUGGAGGUGUUUGAGAACCAUAGAGACGUAGCACUGAGAGACAUAGAGGGCAUGGAGGAGGUGGGCUGGGGUGGGACUUAGUGGUCCUAGAGGUCUUUUCCAACCUUAACGAUUCUAUGACCAGUUGAAAGCACUGUGGACUCUUCCAAACAGGCUGAAUUAAAUGGCAGGUAGUGAUUUAGAAUAAAAACUUCACCCUUUGAAAUAUGAUAACCUUCCAAAGUAUUUCGACACAUUUCCAACUGUUGGUCUUGAACUUUCCACGUAGCAACAACAAUACCCACAUGAGCAGAAAACACAGCUGAGUUUUCCCCUUUCAGAAGUAAUCUGGCUGUACUCCAGAAAGGUCUGUACAGUUCGUUCGUUCUUUAGGUUUCAAAGAACAGUGCUAGUAUGAGGUAACAGAAUGAUUACCAAAAUAAUAUUUCCUUUUCCUUUAUUGACCAAAGAGGCUUUAUACAUAUAUCUUUUUUUUUUUCAGCUAGAAAAUUCAGUAAAAUGUUAUCUGGGGUGGGAGAGGGGUUAAGGGUAGGCACUGAACUUGCCAUUGUUUUCUAUUCCAUGCUGGCAACAUUUUUUCUGCAAACACUAUUCAGCCCUAAGCAUGGACUGAGGAGAACCCAGAAGAGAAAGGCUGAUAAGCAGCAAGGAAACCUGACAUGUAAGGGCAAGAUGAUAAAAUGGUGUUUGUUUGGUCUAGCAAAGCUGAGGCAAGGGUACAUAGAACAGUCUGGAAUAGAGGCAGUGAACAUCCAGUGAUGAAACAGAGGAUCUGGCACCAACCUGUUGUCUGCUCUUAUGGCUUACGACAAAGGAGUAGCUCUCAGGUAGGUGUUCAGAACACAUAAACGAUGUUGUGAAGACGGUCUCCUUCCCUCCCAAAGCCAGAGCAGAGCAUACUCGUGGACCAUUUUUAACCCAAACAGGAGAGCUUCAGUAGACAAAAUUAACAUUUUCCCUCCACGUGCCUAUUAGGUAUCCAGGGAUCUGUUUAUGCAAACUACAAAUGCUUAAUGGAGAUGAUUUAAGGGAGAAGUGAAUGUCUUUUUGCUGAAUGAAUAUAAAUAACUACACUGUAACUUAAUCAGUAUUUACUUCACUACAGUCUGCCCGUGAAAUCAUGUCUGUUUGCAACUCAGCUAACUGGAAGUUGGAAUAGAGAACACCCUCAAUUUUCUCUCAUUUGACUGCUGGCUGGGGUGAGGGGACAGUUCUCAACAUGAAGACAUUUUCCUCCCUCUUUUUGCAUGAAAUCACAGAAUCAUCAAGAAAAAGGGACUAUGUACAAGGUUAAAAUGCAAAUAAAAUCAUAAAAAAAAAAAGAAUACAUGAUUUGUGCUGAACUGAUAAGACCUAACACAGAAAUAUGAUUGUUUUCCAGGGAAUUGCAUGGCUCAGACAAAUUGCACUAUACCCCGAAUGAGACAAGAUCUAUAGCCAAAAUAGUUCAGGUCAGGGAAGCUUUCACAAAACAAGUAAAUACUCCUGUCUUCAUUCUGCUCUGACUCAUGGAGCUGGUUCAAAUGCAAUCCUCACAGCUCCAGCUAAGACCUCUCCUUUCAGCUAAAAUCAAUUGUAUCCUGGAAUUCAAGGCUCUUUUAAAUUCCUGGCGAGACAGUGAUUAUAAUUCCUGUGUUGUUUUGCAAGAAAGUGAAGCCAGUGAUUCACCCCCUCACAUCAACACACAGCCAGAGCCUUGUGAAGGUAAUUCAGAACAGCAAGGUAACAUUUGAAAAACUGUCUGUACUUUAGAAGAUAUCCAUCUCUACUUUACCUUGCCGCACGGACGGUACUGAAGAAAAAGAGCUUGUGCAACAAUGCUACAGCAGAAGUUUGUAUGACAGAAAAGACUGAAGUGGUAAAGGAUCUAAUUUGUUUUUGUAAACAAAGUCACUCAACUUUACCAAAUAAAGGAAACAGAGGGACUUAAACUCAUUUUUGAACUGUUUCUGCAGAGUAAGUAUGUGGUUGACUGCGCUGUUUUAGACGGUGAAGUCUGAAAAAAGAAUGCCUGCUCACAAACAUUGUCAUUUGCUGGGUUCUGGUCAAAGCCACAGAUUGACUGUCACACAAAUCAUUGUAUGAGCCCUAAAGAUAGCUCAUUUCAAAAGAAGCAAGAUGUGGUCCCAACUCUCAUUUUGUACAGCAAGACUUCAAAAGGAACCAACACAAACCCUCAAAUGUUCGGCUGGAAGCGUCAUCUUCAUGACAGUUACAGGCCUUAGUUACGCCUAGCCAUGAGUACUUCCUACGGAUACACAUUUUCAGCGUUGACCUUUAAGGAGCUCUGUACAUGCUUUUUUUUCCGUGAAUGAAGUGCAUGAGCAAUACACUUUGGGUGGACUUACAUGGCAAGGAAGUACUUAAACCCAUCCUACGCUCCAGGAUUAACUUGCUAACAAGCACAAAGCUGAUAAUCAGGCUUCAGAUUCACUGAGAUUAAACAGCAGUUUUGACCUCAGCUCUGUUAUGUUCUAAAA